rnacentral:ncRNA from 1 species
GAUCCGUAACUUCGGGAAAAGGAUUGGCUCAUAGGGUAGGGUACGUCGGGGCCUUGGGCAAAGACAAGGGACCGCGGUGGGACUACUGUGGCGCAAGCUGCGGCGGACCUGCUGUGGACCCGAGUCGGCGCCCCUGGCCAGUCUUCGGACGUCUGGCGUACGAUUAACUACCAACUAUGAACUGGUAC